rnacentral:siRNA from 1 species
GCUCAGGAGGGAUAGCGCC